UACGUAGGGGGCAAGCGUUGUCCGGAUUUAUUGGGCGUAAAGCGUGCGUAGGUGGUUCGUUAAGUCUGUCGUGAAAGCCCCGGGCUCAACCUGGGAAUGGCGAUGGAUACUGGCGGGCUAGAGUGCGGUAGAGGAGAGUGGAAUUCCCGGUGUAGCAGUGAAAUGCGUAGAGAAUCGGGAGGAACAUCAGUUGCGAAGGCGGCUCUCUGGACCAGCACUGACACUGAGGCACGAAAGCGUGGGGAGCAACAGG
rnacentral:rRNA from 1 species